AUUGAACGCUGGCGGCAGGCCUAACACAUGCAAGUCGAACGAGUGGCGGACGGGUGAGUAAUGUCUGGGAAACUGCCCGAUGGAGGGGGAUAACUACUGGAAACGGUCGCUAAUACCGCAUACCAUCGGAUGUGCCCAGAUUGGAUUAGCUUGUUGGUGGGGUAACGGCUCACCAAGGCGACGAUCCCUAGCUGGUCUGAGAGGAUGACCAGCCACACUGGAACUGAGACACGGGCCAGACUCCUACGGGAGGCAGCAGUGGGGAAUAUUGCACAAUGGGCGCAAGCCUGAUGCAGCAAUGCCGCGUGUAUGAAGAAGGUCUUCGGGUUGUAAAGUACUUUCAGCGGGGAGGCGUUACCCGAAGAAGAAGCACCGGCUAACUCCGUGCCAGCAGCCGCGGUAAUAC
rnacentral:rRNA from 1 species